CAUGGAUUCCCAGUCAAGGCCGAAGCGUACUCGACGCCGGCCCGGACAUUUGCUGGACUACAGAGUGGACAGUUAAGGUUGUGGGGACACUAAACCUCUUGGGGGGGGCUGUGUAAUGACCUGGCUGGGGUUGUUAGCCAGGUGCAUUCUGGGUAUUGUGUUGUCUGUGUUUUCUAUUGUUCUGCUAGUUCCUAUGUGUUUGAUUCGCAUGUUGUGUUAGUGUUAUGUUAAUGUAAGCCACAGUGAAGUUGAUGUGUGUUCUGUGGAGCGGGUUGAUGUGGCAUGGUUGGCUGACACCGCGACCCUAUGUGGUGGGAGCGUGAUAGGGGUUCGGUGUCAGCAGCAUUACAGUGGUUGUAAAAAUUGUUGAAUAAAUGACUGGUGUGAACCACUACUGCCUCCUGCUGGAUCGUUUGGGGAUUACAAGCCUGCUGCUGAGACGCUCGGGGUCGUGCGGUGUAUGAGGCACGAGCGCUCUCCAUUCGCCGCGAAGUUCAGCGAUAGCUGCUAGCACCCUGCUAGCCGUUUUAGCUAAUGUUGGAGGAAAUGGGAACACUGGAUUGCAGGCAUUUGAAACUGCCUCUUCUGACCCUGGAAAAUCUUGGAAAAGUCAUCACCCCCUAUGUGAAAGAUGUUUCACAGGAUCAGUGGGCGUCUUUAGCCGAUGGUGACCCUGGAUCAAAAGUUGUCAUUCUCUUGUCCAGCAUGUGCCAUGCGGUUAUAGAAGAAAUAAGCGCCUUGGUCCUGGAGGUUGUAGAACCUCAGGUUCUUGCCAAGGGACACAAUCAUGCAAAUGGAGAUAAGGUAAGUUUGCAGGAUGGGUGCAGCUGCUGCAGAGUAACAGAAAAUAAUAUUCAAGCCAGCUUCAGAAACACCCUUCAUCACUGUUUUGGUGAAGCCCUAUCCAUGGCACAAGGUAAGUCCUACAACUCGGAUAUAUUAGUAAAGCUGUUUUCAGCAGAAAUUACUAAAAAAGUCAACACGUCGCUGGCUCGUAUCACAGGGCCAGCUCCUACCCCAAAAACUCAUGACUCAGUGACAGGUAUGAGCAUUAUACAAAUGGUGUAUAAUAUGACUGAGAUUUUUGAAUGCAUCUUGAAUAUCAGCCGAAAAAUCACAGACAGGGCAUCUGACAGCAUGACAUGCUCAGACUCUAAUUGCAAGCAGAUUUGCUGUCUAGAUGUGGAGGAGGAGGAAGAUGCAGAAAUCCCACAAAUAAGUGACUGUUCCUUAGAGAAUUCACUGUGCAUGGAUAAUCUGAGUCCUCCUCCAACUCCAGAGCUCCCUAAGUAUUCAGAAAUAUUUGUCCCUUCAGCAUUGAUUUUAGCCUACCAGGAGAAUUCUUCACCAAGUCUGGAGUCUCCUGACUGUCCAGUCAACAUGACCUUUCUUACUGUGCUUCUUGCUAAGUUAGUUGACCAUAUUGCAUCAAAAACCAGAACAUCCAUACUAAACGUGGACCUGGUUGCAUUAUUGGGUGGUGUAACAAUGAGGGCUGAAAAAGAACUGGUUUCCAUUCCCCCACCAAGUGUUGAAAACCUGCACAUCUCCAUCUAUAAAAAGCUGUGCAAGGUGUUUGGAUCCAAAUACUUGUUGCAGGCUGCCAUGGAAUCUGGUGACGAAGCAUUUGAGAUUGCUGUUUCAGAGGUUUUAGUGUCACAGCUCCAGAAAUCUUUAGUAAGGUCAAAGAAUUCUGGGACCAUAUGGAGAGUUGUCAAGGAUGGUAAACUUUCUCCAGUGCGUGAGAUUCCAACACCAGAGUCCCCCACUGAAGAAAGUAAUGAACCAAAAAUACCCCUGCCUUCAAACACAUCACCGGCCAGUACUCUCAAGAAGAGUACUGGCUGGUUUUCUCGUCUGUUCAACACGCUCAAUAGAGCCCUGGACAGUGACAUUCACAGACUUGACUAUACAGUGACAAACCCACCCGUCUGGACAAACCCUGUUCUGUAAUUUUUAUCUUGAAAACUGAUCUGAGGCUCAUUUCUCAAGAUAAAAAUAAAUGCAAUGUAGGGCUUGUUAAAAUACCUUUUAGAAAGUUAAGUUGACAAAGGAGAUCUGGAAUUUUAAAAAGACCUACAAACAAUCCUCUUUUCAAAAAGUUGGGACAUGUGCAACUAUUUAAAAAUAGUGCACAGAUAAUGAUUAUUGGACACAUAAGCUGUAAUGUUAAAUGUAAUACAUUGGAUAAUUAAAAAAAUACUAAUUUGCUUUCUUCAAAACACAAGGUAAGACAAGAGUACACUAACCAUCUGUCUGUCACUGGCCAGUUGUUCAUAUCUGACUGUGUCCAUCCUAAAUUAGCUCAGCUUGUUUAAACUAGUGUCCAGAAUACUUUUGUCAUCUGAAUGAGUGUACCAACUUUUUGGAAAGAAGGUUCUCUUUUCCAUCACCCCCAACCGGUCGCGGCAGAUGGCUGCCCCUCCCUGAACCUGGUUCUGCCGAAGGUUUCUUCCUGUUAAAAGGGAGUUUUUCCUUCCCACUGUCGCCACGUGCUUGUUCAUAGGGGAUCAUCUGAUUGUUGGAGGGUUUUUUGUAGGGUCUUUGCCUAUGGUGCUAUAUCUCUAUAACAUUGUACUGAAUUCUAAGCACCAUAGUGGUUCUGUGGGUGUUCACCAGAGGAAGGUUUUGGAGUAUUUUGCUCCCUCAGCCGCUCUCUGGUGUUCACCCUGUGUUCCUGGCUUUCAUCCAGAUUCUCCUAUUGGAAAUUCCAAAUUUAAAAAACAAAAAACAAUUGGAAAAUAAAAGACAAAAACAACUGAAAAAAACGUGGAUCUGUUGUUGUUUUUUCUCUGACUAUUUUAAAGCUUUUAGGCUGCUGCAUGUUUUAAUUACUGUGAAUAGGCUCUGAUUUGAGUGGAGAUGCAGUGUGCUCAGCACCACUCAAACAUGCUUGUAGACGUUUUUUUCACCAUUUCACAAUUAUUCUGUUUGUUAUUAAUUAAAAAAGUAAAUAAUAAGCUAACAGUUAUAGCAGUAUUGUGUAGAAGUCUUCAACUACCCCAGUUUUUUUAUAGAAACAUAAACACACAUACAUAGUUACAAUGCUAUUAUGUUGUGAUACAUUGUGAGACACCAUUGUAAUCUGACAUUCCAUCCUAUACUAUGACAUUGUCUUUGGUGCUCAGCUGAACUGUCAGUGGUACAUGAUUGGGGAAUUUAUAUAAAAAUAUUUGCGUAUAACUUGUAAAGGUUGGCACUCACAGUGGCCUAGGCAUUGUUUAGGUAAAGUUUCAUCAAGAUUGGGUCGCUUGUGUUGGAGGAAAUAGGGAACAUACAAACAUAUAAGGCUAAAAUAUGUUUUGAGACUACAGACAGAUUUUUUGGGUCGAGAAUUACUUUAAAAGGCUUUUUUAAUAGUAAAAGACGACACGGUUUAGUCACACAGCUUUGUAAUGAUUCUAACUAAACACUAGAUGGAGACAAACAUUUGGAUUCACACAAACUGAACUUCAUGUCAGACACUGGUUUUAUAAAAGUAAAUGAAAUUUAAUACAGCAAACCUUCACAUUUAUUUGUUAACUAAAACCAGUUUGAUUAGAGUCUAAACAACUUUAAAGUUUUGCAGUGAGUUUUGGAAAAGAAGACAGCAAGGUGGCUAAGGCUGGGCAACCUUUAAUCAUUUACAGAAUUUGAUAUAAUUUUUCUUAAUAUGGAAAUAAAAAUCA